GACGAACGCUGGUGGCGCGCUUAACACAUGCAAGUCGAGCGAGAACCAGACCUUCGGGUCUGGGGACAGCGGCGAACGGGUGAGUAACACGUGGGUAAUCAACCCUCGGUACUGGGAUAGCCCGGGGAAACCCGGAUUAAUACCGGAUGGCCCUUCGGAUCUUCGGUUCUGAAGGAAAAGGUAGCUUCGGCCUCCGACCGAGGACGAGCCCGCGGCGGAUUAGCUGGUUGGUGGGGUAACGGCCUACCAAGGCGACGAUCCGUAGCUGGUCUGAGAGGACGAGCAGCCACACUGGGACUGAGACACGGCCCAGACUCCUACGGGAGGCAGCAGUGGGGAAUCGUGCGCUAAUGCGGGAAACCGUGACGCAGCGACGCCGCGUGGGGGAAGAAGGCCUUCGGGUUGUAAACCUCUUUCAGGAGGGACGAAGCUACUCGGGUUAAUAGCCCAGAGGGUGACGGUACCUCCAGAAGAAGCCCCGGCUAACUACGUGCCAGCCGCCGCGGUAACAC
rnacentral:rRNA from 1 species